GGGGGGUUAGUUUAUCGGUAGAACAGCGGUCUCCAAAACCGCUAGGAGAGGUUCGAUUCCUCUACCCCCCG
rnacentral:tRNA from 1 species